GCGGAUUGUUUCACCGUGCUUGAAUCUUUUAAUUCUUGCUUUCUUAUUUACGUCUAUCUGGCUAUAUUUAACUUUGAUGCCAUAAUAUUUUUAAAGAAAAAACUUAAAAUUUUUCUUCCUUUCAAAAUUCUCUAUAGGCCUUGUCUUGUUUUAUUUGCUUGAGGGGUCCUGGGGGAUGUCAAUUUUAUAUUUCUUGCCGGCAC
rnacentral:lncRNA from 1 species